UGUUCUGCUCCUAGCAAUGGAUAAAGAACGGGCAGUUCAAGUGAUCUUUAUGCCAAUUCCACUCCUGUCGACGUCUUUCCUCUUCUCGACGAUAAUCUUCUUGUUGGCGCCGAUACCGAUCUUCACGUUGCUGCCAAGUCUCCCGAUGCCUUCUAUGAGUUAUCACAAUGCCAGAUCGGGGAGGCUUUCUUGAGCUGGCUCCUUCCUGAACCAGACCCUUGCCUUUUGUGUCAUCGGUAGUAAUUUGAUGUUGAGGAUCCACCGAUGCACUUCUUUCAGCUGCCUCUGACGUCAAGACCUUGGUUUUUCCCUUAGCAUCCAACAUAUUUGUCGGGAAAGGAUGUUGAUCGAUCUUCAUCGGCUUCUGAGUUUUAGAAUUAUCAAAC
rnacentral:lncRNA from 1 species